UCUGAUGAAUACACCUUUGCCAAUUCCACCCAUGCCUAUUAUUUCCUUUAAUUCCUCCCUCUCAACUCUCCUCUUCUUCACUACUCUAAUGUUUCUGGUAAGGUUUCUUCUUUACUCUUUUGUAUAUAUUUUUAUAUUCAUGAUAUUGUUAAUCGAUGGAAGGUAAAAGCAUAAGUGGAUCCAAAUAAAACGAAUCGAUUAAAACAGAAUUUCUUUAGGAGUUUCGAAUUGCUUUUAUAAGGAACUGAUUUGAUCUGAUUUAACACGUAAUCGCUGAUGUUACUCCUUUUAUAUUUAUAAUACUGUUCUAUCAUUCAUUUUAUUUUGUAUUUCUUUCCUUUGCAUUGUUGUAUGUAUUAUAUCUAUAGCACAACAACUCGCCAUGUUAAUUCUCCUUUAUCAUUGAAAAUAAAACCACACUUAAAUCGCGUAAAUAAAAAAUUAAUCUAUCCAGACCAAAUCUCGAUCGUUCAUUGGAAUUUUACAUUGCAAUCCUUAUGCUCGAUUUUUGUCAUUUGACCCAUUGAAUCAAACUAAACCACGUCGAAAGGUUAAGGUUCGAUUUUUGUAAGUGUAUCCUAAAAGUAAUUAAAAUAAAAUAAAAAGAGGCUGUUCCCGAUAACAGGGAGGUAAUAGGGUCGAUUAGACAAAAUAAUUGUCUCUACUGAGUACUGAGAAUAGAGAAAAAAAUGUACCUAAUUAUAUUGUUGUAUUAUCUACACACUCUACUAUAUUACAUAGAUAUUAUAUUUUUUCCUAGGACAGGUUUUGUUGAUCUACAUUUUUAUUUUGCUUGGAGGAUAGUGAAAAUUAGUUUAUUUGGGGGAAACUUAGUUUUCAAUUUGCCAUUGCUACCAAAGUAGAUUUAUUUCAUCACCAUAAAAUCACAAAUAUAAAAAGUUAUCGUAGUUAUGAUUCAAACAGAUUUGUUGGGAGGUUCAAGUUGGUCUCAGAAAGAUGAGAUUGAACAUGGUAAAGACUAGAGAUCAAGACGUAUGACCACACGCAAGAUUAUGGAUUUAAAGUUGAUGCGUUAUUUUUAUUAGUUGGCAAAAAAAUUUAGUUUGACACCGGAGACAGAAAUUUGGGGAGGGAGAACCUUUGCUCUAUGUGGUGGUGUACUGUUAUAAAUUCUAUUGUAAACUUUCAUGCAUAAACUAUUAUGAAUAUACUAAUCUUUUUCAUAAAAAUAAGUAAAAGGAAGUUUAUUCUUCACAUGGACGGAGAACUCUUAUAUCUAAGUGAGUGUACUUUUUUUAUGAAUUUCUCCACAUCUAUAUAAUUAUAGACGGAAAAUUUACUUUGUUGGUGCACCUUGAUCGAAAAAUUACGGUUUUGGUGCACCUUUUGAAAAAAUUACCAGUUUUAGGGUAAAUCGGCAACCUCAUUGCCGAUUUAUAGAAAAGAAAUAUUUUUUAAAUGUACUCCCCCUAACUCGGCAAUAGGGGGAGUUUUUACCAAAUAUAUUAUUUUUUUAAUCUCCUCCCCCUAAAUUGGCAAUGGGGGAGGAGUUUUUCUCAAAUAUUUUUUUUUAACCUCCUCCCCUAACUCGGCAAUGGGAGAGGAGUUUUUCAAUAAUUGACUUUUUUUUUAAAUCUCCCCCCUAAGUCGGCAAUGGGGGGAGUUUUGUAAUAAUUUUUUUUUUAAUUUUCCUCCCCUAACUCGGCAAUGGGGGAGGAGUUUUUCAAAAGAUUAAAUUUUUAAUUAUCCUCCCCCUAACUCGGCAAUGGCAGUGCCGAUUUCAUUGGAAAUUUUUUUGGCCAGAAUGAAUCUCGGCAAUGGCACUGCCGAUUUUCAUUUACAUAUUUUGGCAAUAAAUACUAUGCCAUCAAUAUUUAUUGUGCAGAGCAAUAUUAUGCACUUAAUGAAUAUAAUUAAUGAAUUCAACCACUCACUAAAUUAAUGAAUAUUAUGCACUUAAUGAAUAUUGUGCAGAAACAAUAUUCAACUAAAUUUAAUGAAUUCAACCAUAAAUAUAUUUAAUUCGGUCAAACAACCUAUUGAAUUAUCCUCCCCCUAAUUAUAUUCAUUAAGUGCAUUCAAUCUUUUGAAAAACUCCUCCCCCAUUGCCGAGUUAGGGGAGGUAAAUUAAAAAAAAAUUAUUACAAAACUCCCCCCAUUGCCGAUUUAGGGGGGAGAUUUAAAAAAAAUCAAUUAUUGAAAAACUCCUCCCCCAUUGCCGAGUUAGGGGAAGAGGUUAAAAAAAAUAUUUGAGAAAAACUCCUCCCCCAUUGCCGAUUUAGGGGGAGGAGAUUAAAAAAAUAAUAUAUUUGGUAAAAACUCCCCCCUAUUGCCGAGUUAGGGGGGAGUACAUUUAAAAAAUAUUUCUUUUCUGUAAAUCGGCAAUGGGGUUGCCGAUUUACCCUAAAACUACACUACUUUGGUAAUUUUUUCAAAAGGUGCACCAAGACCGUAAUUUUUCGGUCAAGGUGCACCAACAAAGUAAAUUUUCCAAUUAUAGACGUUGAUUUCUCUCUCUUGACCUAUUUCUUAAUAAUGCAUUAAUAGUGAAGAUAAUGUACUUUUUGGUUGAUUAGAAUGAUGACCUCAUCCUUAAUUUUUAGGUUUUGAUAAGGUGUUUUCAUCAUAUAUUUUUAUAUAACAUGUAAGAUAAUUAUACAAAUAGGCAUUUCACUUAUAUCUAUUAGAUUCCAUUUAUUAUUUAAAUAAAAAUAAUAUCAACAUGAUUUAGCUGUAUCAUUUAUUAUUAAACCAUUAUAUGCUCUUAAGCUGCUGGUUGAUAAGUAUUUAAUUAUUUAAAAAAAUGAAAUAUUUAAUACUUAUAUCUUGUGCUUAAGACUUACAAAAUCUGAAAAUCAUCAUAAGCUUCUUUCAACAUGAAGACAAAGAUAAUUAGACAUGAAUGAUGUGUCAAAAACUGAUUUUCCUAGAAACUUAGUGGGUGAAGGCUGUAUCAUAGGGAUGGGGAUCACAAUGUCCCCAUUCAUGUCUUAUUUGAUGUACCAAGCCAAUCAUAGAGCUUCAUUCCUUUAAAAAGAAGAAUUAUAAAAACAGAAAUUAAUAUUUUAAUAUUAUUUUGUGAUGUUUAAUUAGUUCGGGACAGGGAGACGGGAAAAUUGUGGGACAGGUGAUCCUUGUCCGUAUCAUAGAGUUUGGCAAAGUUUUGUGUUUGUCCAAGCUUAAAAAAUCUUUACCUUUAUAUAAGUUAAGAGUUUGACUAUAGUGAAGAUAUUUAUUGAGAGUGAUAGUCAUACACCUUAAAAGUGAGAAAAAAAUUGGUUUGACAUCGGAGGCAGAGAAAUUUGGGGAGGGAGAACUUUUGAUGUAUGUGGUGGUGUACUAUACAAUUAUAAAUUCCAUUGUAAAUUUUGCUGCAUAAAUUAUCAUAAAUGUACUAAUCUUUUUUAUAAAAAUAAGUAAAAGAAAGUGUAUUGUUCUCAUGGACAGAG
rnacentral:lncRNA from 1 species